UACGUAGGAGGCAAGCGUUGUCCGGAAUUACUGGGCGUAAAGCGCGUGUAGGUGGUGGGACAAGUCUGCUGUGAAAGCGCCUGGCUUAACCGGGCGAGGUCGGCGGAAACUGUACGGCUUGAGGCCGGGAGGGGGUAGCGGAAUUCCCAGUGUAGCGGUGAAAUGCGUAGAUACUGGGAGGAACACCAGUGGCGAAGGCGGCUACCUGGACCGGUUCUGACGCUGAGGCGCGAAAGCGUGGGUAGCAAACAGG
rnacentral:rRNA from 1 species